CAUAUCAUUUCCUUUCUUCUAGCAGUCUACUUGGGGGUGAGCUUGCGUUAAGAAUAGCACGCUGCCCGGAACCCGAAUCGAAACAUGAGGACGCUCGUGUUGGUGAUGGUCCUGGUGAUACUGCUAGGCUGCACUGAGGGAUGGGUGGUCUUCGA